rnacentral:rRNA from 1 species
GCAACUCGCCUGCAUGAAGUUGGAAUUGCUAGUAAUCGCGAAUCAGAAUGUCGCGGUGAAUACGUUCCCGGGCCUUGUACACACCGCCCGUCACACCAUGAGAGCCGAUAACACCCGAAGCCUGUGAGCUAAACCGGUAAGGGGGCAGCAGUCGAAGGUGGGGUUGGUGAUUGGGGUGAAGUCGUAACAAGGUAAC